rnacentral:lncRNA from 1 species
AUGAAGGAAAGAGAAACAGCGAAGGUAAAGAAAGAAAGAGCAAACAGGGAAUUAAAGUUGCCUAUGGUGAAGUCUGGCGAGCUUCUGAGCCAGCAGAAUGUAAGGACCAGAACUCAGUGGUUGGAGAUAGGAAGCAGAAACUUUGUUCUCUGGCAAUGCAUAGAUGUUAAUUCUGCUCUCUGCAUCUCCUGGGACCAUACUCCAAGACUGGAAGAGUUUUCAGAAUUCAGGGGUGUUGUUUCAGUCACGAAGAAUCAAACUUCUUAAUGAAAAUACUUAUUAUUGUGUUGACUGUGUGUGAUGGGACAUGGACCAAAAUGUCAGAACAAUCAUUUUUUUUCUAAAAAUCUUUGUGAAAACAUAUCUCCGAAGCAAAUAAGUAAAGAUAAAAACAUGUAAUGGCCUCAAAUCAGGCUUUUCAUUUAGAACUUCCCUUUCACCAAAACGAAAGCACUCGCUCCAAGCCCCCCCCCCCCCAAAAAAAAAAAAGUAAAAAAAAGUGGGGAGUUCAUGUGACUCCAAGCUUUCCUUUUGUUUCAGAUGUUUCACGUGUAGAACAGGGAAAACAAACAAAACCCUAUAGAUUUUCAGAGCUCCAGUUCUGCCUAAAAGACUUUGAAGCCACACCACUGGCCUCUCAUUGAUGUAUCUUUACCUGCAGUCUGUAAGACACAGGGACUGGAGUGCUCUCAGGUCCUUUGAUUGAAAAUAUUCCACUUUGUAUGUACAAUACUCUGUUCUUUCACUGACCAUCUGCAACAUAGAUUUUUACCUGCUUAGCUGAGAUUACAGUCUGAACAGCUGCUUUUUCUAGAUUUCUGCAGAUGGAGAAUGCAGCUCAUCCUCUUCUAGAUUGUCUUAAUCUUUAAAACAAAUAUUACAAUAUUCUGUAGAUAUAAAUAUGGCUGAAAAAGAAGACGUGCUAUAAGCUUAAAGAUAGUUCAGGUGUCUCAAAAGAAACGCUGCUUGGGAAUACUGUGAGUGAGCCAAAGUGAAGGAAAUAUUCCUGGUUCUCUCACUGAGAAUGGCAGUUUUAUUUCCUAAAUGAUGGACAUAGACCCUUGUUUUUGCUUUCUGUCCCUGCUUCUUAUUAUAUCGGAUAGUUUAUUGUCUUUAGGUAUGUUUUCUAUCUUCUAUCUGUGUCUCAUUUCUACAGAACAGCUUCAAUUUAAGAAUCUUCACCUGAAUAUCUGUGAUUGCCAAAGAAAUGCCUCUGAUUAUUUUCUCUGUCUUUCCUGAAAGCAUCCACAUUGAGGUUUCUUUUAUAUUAGUGCCUGCCAGAUUCUGUCCCCAAGACUUCUUUUUCCCUGCAGCACUGGAAAUGAAGAUGUUCAAAGAGAGCAAAAUUAGCUUUUUGGUAGCCUAGCUGGCUAUAGUGUAUGUCAGACAAGUGUGUCCCCAUGCACAAGGUGCUGAGAAUCAUAUUCUAUCUUCAGUUAAAUACAUGAAAACUCAUUAAAAUCAAUGUUGAUGCACAGGUAGAAGUGAAUGAGUAGUAUUUAGCUCAGAAAUUCUGUGUUCUUAUCUUUAGACUUAAUAAUCUAUUGAUAGAAUCAUCCUGUGUUCCAAAAGCAUGCCAACGCUUACUAUAACAUGUUGUGAUUGUGCUGCGCUUUCAGCAAAGGUGGGUCGUGUGUUUAAAAAUGACAUUUGCUUUACCAUUCUGCCUAAAUUGUGGAUAAUGUUUUAAUAAAUGGUAUUUUUAAAAAGAAAUAUAUUAUUUG